GAUGAACGCUAGCGGCAGGCUUAAUACAUGCAAGUCGAGGGGUAGCAAGAUUGUAGCAAUACAAUUGUUGACGACCGGCAAACGGGUGCGGAACACGUACACAACCUUCCUACAAGUGGGGAAUAGCCCAGAGAAAUUUGGAUUAAUACCCCGUAACAUAGCGAUGUGGCAUCACAUUGCUAUUAUAGCUUCUGCGCUUGUUGAUGGGUGUGCGGCUGAUUAGAUAGUUGGCGGGGUAACGGCCCACCAAGUCUACGAUCAGUAGCUGAUGUGAGAGCAUGAUCAGCCACACGGGCACUGAGACACGGGCCCGACUCCUACGGGAGGCAGCAGUAGGAAUAUUGGACAAUGGACGCAAGUCUGAUCCAGCCAUGCCGCGUGAAGGAUUAAGGUCCUCUGGAUUGUAAACUUCUUUUAUAAGGGACGAAAAAAGGUCUUUCUAGAUCGUCUGACGGUACCUUAUGAAUAAGCACCGGCUAACUCCGUGCCAGCCGCCGCUGUAACAC
rnacentral:rRNA from 1 species